UCGGCCGGUUUGAUUCGAAAUACAGAAUUUUGAAUUUUUACUUUGCCUCGGGACCGAAAACGAUGUCCAAAAAUUCUGAAAAAAUUCCUGAAAACUCAGAAAAAUUCGUAGACUCUAAAUAUAUUUUUAGUUUUACCACGUGGUCUUUAAAUUAUUUUUUAAAAAUCAUCAAUGUUUUAUAUUUUCGGGAAGUCAAACCCAAUUUCUAAAAUCCAAAAAAUUUCAAAUAAUUUCCUAAA
rnacentral:misc_RNA from 1 species